CACGUAGGGGCUAAGCGUUGUCCGGAAUUAUUGGGCGUAAAGAGCUCGUAGGCGGUCUGUCGCGUCUGCUGUGAAAACCUGGGGCUUAACCCCGGGCCUGCAGUGGGUACGGGCAGACUAGAGUGUGGUAGGGGAGACUGGAAUUCCUGGUGUAGCGGUGAAAUGCGCAGAUAUCAGGAGGAACACCGGUGGCGAAGGCGGUGAUCUGGGCCGACACUGACGCUGUAGAGCGAAAGCCAGGGGAGCAGACGGG
rnacentral:rRNA from 1 species